rnacentral:rRNA from 1 species
AUUGAACGCUGGCGGCAUGCCUUACACAUGCAAGUCGAACGGUAACGGGCCUUCGGGUGCCGACGAGUGGCGAACCGGUGAGUAAUACAUCGGAACGUGCCCGAUCGUGGGGGAUAACGAGGCGAAAGCUUUGCUAAUACCUCAUACGAUCUACGGAUGAAAGCAGGGGACCGCAAGGCCUUGCGCGGACGGAGCGGCCGAUGGCAGAUUAGGUAGUUGGUGGGAUAAAAGCUUACCAAGCCGACGAUCUGUAGCUGGUCUGAGAGGAUGAUCAGCCACACUGGGACUGAGACACGGCCCAGACUCCUACGGGAGGCAGCAGUGGGGAAUUUUGGACAAUGGGCGCAAGCCUGAUCCAGCCAUGCCGCGUGCAGGAUGAAGGCCUUCGGGUUGUAAACUGCUUUUGUACGGAACGAAAAGCCUUCUUUUAAUACAGGAGGGUCAUGACGGUACCGUAAGAAUAAGCACCGGCUAACUACGUG